rnacentral:rRNA from 1 species
AAUCAACGCUGGCGGCGCGCUUAACACAUGCAAGUCGAGCGAGAAAGGGGAGCAAUCCCUGAGUACAGCGGCGUACGGGUGAGUAACACGUGGGUGAUCUACCUUCUAGUGUGGAAUAACCCUGGGAAACCGGGGCGUAAUACCGCAUAAGCCUGUGAAGGGAAAGCAGCAAUGCGCUGGAAGAGGAGCCCGCGGCCGAUUAGCUAGUUGGUGAGGUAACGGCCCACCAAGGCGA